rnacentral:lncRNA from 1 species
UUGCUGCUUGGGGAGGUCCCUCUAGACCUCCUCUCUGUCCACAUCCUUCCAAGGUUGAGACUCCUCCCUUAUUUACAUACCUCAAAGUGAAGGUUUUUGAGCAACGUGCAAGAUGUGAAGCUCACGUGCACAACUUGAUAUACUCAAGGCAGUGUUUGGGGUCUGUGAGAGACUCAGUGAAAGAGAGGACCUGGGUGUCUAGAUAUUUGACUGUCUAAAGGAUAUCAAAACACCUAGUGGAACAUGGGACAAAGGAGCUGAUGGUCCAUUCUGUUUAUGUGGAACAAGCCAAUUGUUUCCUCCUAUGUGAGUGGCUGGUUUUGUUUUAUCUUUAUGAAGCCACUAUCCCCCUUUUGCCCCACAGAACAACUAGAACUCAUUCUUUUUUGUGAUCUUUGUUUUGGCUUUUUUUUUCCCUUUUGAUUUCUUCCAAUGAACUCUUAUUUUGCUGCAUAAUAUCAAAAUAUUUUCUUCAAAGACAAUUUCCUUUAAAAAUAAACUGUUAUCAGGAGAGAAGCUAUGUUCACAGCUGGUAAAGGCAUGAUUAAAUAAUCACCGUAUGGGGAAUUGAAAAGCAAUUUCAUAAUAUAGCUUCAGAAUCCAAAGAGAAAAUCGAAGGAAACAUUCCAGUUAGUUAAGAAAACUUUUAAUCAAAUGAAGUGUUUGAACUCUGUUUGGGUUUUGUAUUUUUUUUUUUUCUUUUGGCAGCUUUCUGCAUGUGCAUGUUUUACUUGGUGAGACUUUGUGAGAGGUUAUCUUAAUACAGUUAUGGGCUUCCUGAGAGUUUAGUUAACCUUCUAAUUACAUAUAAAAUAGCCUUGCAAAUAGUUACACUAAGUGUUUUGGACAUAAAUUUGAACAUGGUUUCUUAUCUUUACUGCCAGUCUCCACCAUAGCUCUGUUUUUUAUUUUUUUAUUUUAUUUUCAAAAUUAGUGUUAGUCUAGGAGGAAAUAAGAAUAUUUUAAGAGAAACGCCUAUAUUCCCUAUGCUCACAGAGUGACAUAAACUCUUUUAGUAGUGAAGAUCCAGAGAAAGAGAACAACUUUUGAGUCACAGAGGCUGGGGAUCUGCCAGUGAUCAGAGUGUAACUCUCAGAAAUCCCCUAACUUCUCUGAGGCUCCAAUUACCUCAUCUGUAGACUGGGUACAACACUAUCACCCUUCAGGGUUGUGCUGUGGACUAGAGUUUGCCAGUGCAAAGCCCUCAUUACAGUGCCUGACAUGCCUGGGAUGCUUGGGAAACAAUAGCUAUGAUUAUUACCACAGCUGGUGAUUCAGAGGCAAACUUUCUAGAGAAAAGUUUUCACCUGGAAACCGAUAAAAUGUUGGAACUACCAAAGAGGACUUUGUAAAAUAUGUAUGAGAAUUUCUAAGGCCACAACUAUACAGAUUCAUUUUAUUUUAUUUUAUUUUAUUUUAUUUUAUUUUAUUUAUUCAUGAGAGACACAGAGAGAGGCAAAGACACAGGCCGAGGGAGAAGCAGGCCUCCCGCAAGUAGCCUAAUGUGAGACUCGAUCCUGGAUCCUGGGAUCACGCCCUGAGCUGAAGGCAGACACUGAACUGCUGAGCCACUCAGGUGUCCCAAUUAUACAGAUCCUAAGCUGAAAUACAACUUAACACCUAUGGUUUUGGGAUCAGUAUAUAUUGAUUUUAGGUGAGAAUUCCUUGAUUUUUCUUUUUCUUUUUUUUG